rnacentral:rRNA from 1 species
GGCCUUGACAUACUAAGAACUUUCCAGAGAUGGAUUGGUGCCUUCGGGAACUUAGAUACAGGUGCUGCAUGGCUGUCGUCAGCUCGUGUCGUGAGAUGUUGGGUUAACGUCCGCAACGAGCGCAACCCUUUUCCUUAUUUGCCAGCGGGUAAUGCCGGGAACUUUAAGGAUACUGCCAGUGUCAAACUGGAGGAAGUCGGGGACGACGUCAAGUCAUCAUGGCCCUUACGGCCAGGGCUACACACGUGCUACAAUGGUCGGUACAAAGGGUUGCUACCUCGCGAGAGGAUGCUAAUCUCAAAAAGCCGAUCGUAGUCCGGAUCGCAGUCUGCAACUCGACUGCGUGAAGUCGGAAUCGCUAGUAAUCGCGGAUCAGAAUGCCGCGGUGAAUACGUUCCCGGGCCUUGUACACACCGCCCGUCACACCAUGGGAGUUUGUUGCACCAGAAGUAGGUAGUCUAACCGCAAGGAGGACGCUUACCACGGUGUGGCCGAUGACUGGGGUGAAGUCGUAACAAGGUAGGCGUAGAUGA